rnacentral:misc_RNA from 1 species
CCAAACUUGGUCAUUUAGAGGAAGUAAAAGUCGUAACAAGGUUUCCGUAGGUGAACCUGCGGAAGGAUCAUCAUUGAAAUCCAUCUCUACUCACCCGUGUGAACCGUAUGUGAAUCAGGCUAUUGGCAAGGCAGCGCUUGGGAAGUGUUUGGGGGACGAUUGUCCGCCAAACAGAGUACCAUGCCGUGCGCCAGGGUCACUCCUGGUACCUUGCCAAAUGCCUAUUUUGAAAUAAACUUUUGAAACAUUGAUCUGAAAUACUUGAAACAAAAAUCUAAACAACUUUCAACAAUGGAUCUCUUGGCUCUCGCAUCGAUGAAGAACGCAGC